CCUACGGGAGGCAGCAGUGAGGAAUAUUGGUCAAUGGCCGGAAGGCUGAACCAGCCAUGCCGCGUGAAGGUCAGUGCCCUAUGGGCGUUAAACUUCUUUUGUGCGGGAGCAAUAGUGGUCACGUGUGGCCAGACGAGAGUACCGGACGAAUAAGCAUCGGCUAACUCCGGGCCAGCAGCCGCGGUAAUACGGGGGAUGCAAGCGUUAUCCGGAUUUAUUGGGGUUAAAGGGUGCGUAGGCUGGGGGGUAAGUCAGCGGGGAAAUGCCCCCGCUCAACGGGGGGAAGUGGCAUUGAUACUGGCUUGCUGGAAUGCGGAUGCCGUGGGAGGAAUGUGUGGUGUAGCGGUGAAAUGCAUAGAUAUCACAAAGAACACCGAUUGCGAAGACAUCUCACGAAUCCGCGAUUGACGCUGAGGCACGAAAGCGUGGGUAUCAAACAGGAUUAGAUACCCUGGUAGUC
rnacentral:rRNA from 1 species